UGGGAAGACAGACGUAGAUUGUUGCUUGAGGACCAGCUACUUAACUGCAUGUAAAGAAAGUGUUCAAGAGAAACAGUGAAUUUAGAGACUUCUCCUAGGAGUGGAUUCAGAGACUUCUCCUAAUAAGACGUUAGAUUUUCGCUAUUUUCUGGAAUGCCGAAGGAAGCAUAAGGACGCCAAAAGAAAAAAAGUGAAAGUAAAGCAAUAAACAUUUUUUUCUGAUGA